rnacentral:rRNA from 1 species
AAUGAACGCUGGCGGUAUGCCUAACACAUGCAAGUCGAACGGCAGCACAGUAAGAGCUUGCUCUUACGGGUGGCGAGUGGCGGACGGGUGAGGAAUACAUCGGAAUCUACUUUUUCGUGGGUGAUAACGUAGGGAAACUUACGCUAAUACCGCAUACGACCUACGGGUUAAAUCAGGAGAUCUUCAGACCUUGCGCGAUUGAAUGAGCCGAUGUCGGAUUAGCUAGUUGGCUGGGUAAAGGCCCACCAAGGCGACGAUCCGUAGCUGAUCUGAGAGGAUGAUCAGCCACACUGGAACUGAGACACGGUCCAGACUCCUACGGGAGGCAGCAGUAGGGAAUAUUCGGCAAUGGGCGAAAGCCUGAUCCAGCAAUACCGCGUGGGUGAAGAAGGCCUUCGGGUCGUAAAGCUCUUUUAUUGGGAAAGAAAAGCAGCAGGUGAAUACAUCGCUGUCCUGACGGUACCUAAAGAAUAAGCCACGGCUAACUUCGUG